rnacentral:rRNA from 1 species
CCAAAGGACUUGACGGGACCCCACAUCCACCUAGAGGAGCCUGUCCUAUAAUCGAUAACCCCCGCUUAACCUCACCAUUUUUAGCUAAAUCAGCCUGUAUACCUCCGUCGUCAGCUUACCUCGUGAGCGAAAUUUAGUGAGCUUAAUGUCUCUACAUCAAUACGUCAGGUCAAGGUGCAGUAAAUGAAAUGGGAAGAGAUGGGCUACACUCUCUAAUCUAGAACAUACGAAAGACUAUAUAUGAAACCCUAGUCAGAAGGCGGAUUUAGCAGUAAAAAGGAACCAUAGUGUCCUUUUUAACCCGGCACUGGGGUGUGUACAC